AUUGAACGCUGGCGGCAUGCUUUACACAUGCAAGUCGAACGGCAGCGCGGGCUUCGGCCUGGCGGCGAGUGGCGAACGGGUGAGUAAUGCAUCGGAACGUGCCCAGUAGUGGGGGAUAGCCCGGCGAAAGCCGGAUUAACACCGCAUACGACCUGAGGGUGAAAGCGGGGGACCGAAAGGCCUCGCGCUAUUGGAGCGGCCGAUGUCGGAUUAGCUAGUUGGUGGGGUAAAGGCUUACCAAGGCGACGAUCCGUAGCUGGUCUGAGAGGACGACCAGCCACACUGGGACUGAGACACGGCCCAGACUCCUACGGGAGGCAGCAGUGGGGAAUUUUGGACAAUGGGGGCAACCCUGAUCCAGCCAUGCCGCGUGCGGGAAGAAGGCCUUCGGGUUGUAAACCGCUUUUGUUCGGGAAGAAAUCCUCUGGGCUAAUACCCCGGGGGGAUGACGGUACCGGAAGAAUAAGCACCGGCUAACUACGUG
rnacentral:rRNA from 1 species